GAUGAACGCUGGCGGCGUGUCUAAUACAUGCAAGUCGAGCGAACAGACGAGGAGCUUGCUCCUCUGACGUUAGCGGCGGACGGGUGAGUAACACGUGGAUAACCUACCUAUAAGACUGUGAUAACUUCGGGAAACCGGAGCUAAUACCGGAUAAUCUAUUGAACCGCAUGGUUCAAUAGUGAAAGACGGUUUUGCUGUCACUUAUAGAUGGAUCCGCGCCGCAUUAGCUAGUUGGUAAGGUAACGGCUUACUAAGGCAACGAUGCGUAGCCGACCUGAGAGGGGGAUCGGCCACACUGGAACUGAGACACGGUCCAGACUCCUACGGGAGGCAGCAGUAGGGAAUCUUCCGCAAUGGGCGAAAGCCUGACGGAGCAACGCCGCGUGAGUGAUGAAGGUCUUCGGAUCGUAAAACUCUGUUAUUAGGGAAGAACAAAUGUGUAAGUAACUAUGCACGUCUUGACGGUACCUAAUCAGAAAGACACGGCUAACUACGUG
rnacentral:rRNA from 1 species